rnacentral:rRNA from 1 species
CGCCUACGGGAGGCAGCAGUGAGGAAUAUUGGUCAAUGGCCGGAAGGCUGAACCAGCCAAGUCGCGUGAGGGACGACUGCCCUAUGGGUUGUAAACCUCUUUUAUAAGGGAAGAAUAAAUGCUACGUGUAGCAUGAUGCCUGUACCUUAUGAAUAAGCAUCGGCUAACUCCGUGCCAGCAGCCGCGGUAAUACGGAAGGUCCGGGCGUUAUCCGGAUUUAUUGGGUUUAAAGGGAGCGUAGGCCGGCUUUUAAGUCAGCUGUGAAAGUCCGCGGCUCAACCGUGGAAUUGUAGUUGAAACUGGAG